GUCGCAAGCAAGAAUGUGAGUUAGAGUGAGCAUCCCUAAAAAAAGAAUUUCAAAUUCUAUAUUUUUGAGAGAAUUUGAAAUCCCACUAUUUUAGUCUGUCGCAACCUACCUUACGACG
rnacentral:pre_miRNA from 1 species